UACACUCCUACGGGAGGCAGCAGUGGGGAAUAUUGGACAAUGGGCGCAAGCCUGAUCCAGCCAUGCCGCGUGAGUGAUGAAGGCCCUAGGGUUGCAAAGCUCUUUCACCGGUGAAGAUAAUGACGGUAACCGGAGAAGAAGCCCCGGCUAACUUCGUGCCAGCAGCCGCGGUAAUACGAAGGGGGCUAGCGUUGUUCGGAUUUACUGGGCGUAAAGCGCACGUAGGCGGACUAUUAAGUCAGGGGUGAAAUCCCGGGGCUCAACCCCGGAACUGCCUUUGAUACUGGUAGGCUUGAGUUCGAGAGAGGUGAGUGGAAUUCCGAGUGUAGAGGUGAAAUUCGUAGAUAGUCGGAGGAACACCAGUGGCGAAGGCGGCUCACUGGCUCGAUACUGACGCUGAGGUGCGAAAGCGUGGGGAGCAAACAGGAUUAGAAACCCCAGUAGUCC
rnacentral:rRNA from 1 species